rnacentral:rRNA from 1 species
GAUGAACGCUGGCGGCGUGCUUAACACAUGCAAGUCGAACGGAAAUGCCACGCUGAUGCGAUUUCGGUCAAAUCUUGUGGCAUUUUAGUGGCGGACGGGUGAGUAACGCGUGGGUAACCUGCCUCACACCGGGGGAUAACACUUAGAAAUAGGUGCUAAUACCGCAUAAGCGCACGGGACCGCAUGGUCUUGUGUGAAAAACUCCGGUGGUGUGAGAUGGACCCGCGUCUGAUUAGCUGGUUGGCGGGGUAACGGCCCACCAAGGCGACGAUCAGUAGCCGGCCUGAGAGGGUGGACGGCCACAUUGGGACUGAGACACGGCCCAA